rnacentral:rRNA from 1 species
GACGAACGCUGGCGGCGUGCUUAACACAUGCAAGUCGAGCGGAGCGGCGAACGGGUGAGUAACGCGUGAGUAACUUCCCCCCUCUCUGGGAUAACAGUUGGAAACGGCUGCUAAUACCGGCUAGUGGGGGAUGACUCGCGUCCUAUCAGCUUGUUGGUGGGGUAGUGGCCUACCAAGGCGACGACGGGUAGCCGGCCUGAGGGGGCGACCGGCCACAUUGGGCUUGGAGCCGGCCCAAACCCCGACGGGAGGCAGCAGUGGGGAAUAUUGCACAAUGGGGGAAACCCUGAUGCAGCAACGCGCGUGCGGGAGGACGGCCUUCGGGUUGUAAACCGCGUUCAGCCAGGACGCGGUAGUGGCAGAAGAAGCACCGGCUAACUACGUGCCAGCAGCCGCGGUAAUUC